rnacentral:rRNA from 1 species
UACGUAGGUGGCAAGCGUUGUCCGGAAUUACUGGGCGUAAAGCGUGCGCAGGCGGUUUUGUAGGUCUGUCGUGAAAUCCCCGGGCUCAACCUGGGAAUUGCGAUGGAGACUGCAAGGCUGGAGUCUGGCAGAGGGGGGUAGAAUUCCACGUGUAGCAGUGAAAUGCGUAGAGAUGUGGAGGAACACCGAUGGCGAAGGCAGCCCCCUGGGUCAAGACUGACGCUCAUGCACGAAAGCGUGGGGAGCAAACAGG